rnacentral:lncRNA from 1 species
GGGCGGGGCUCAGAUCACCCCAGGCCCGCUGCGCCCCGCCCCGCCCCGCCCCGGCCGCCCUGCGGGGCCUUAGGGCUUUAGCCGGGUGCACUACGACUGCUCGGGGUUCGAAGUUUGGCUCAACUCGGCUGCUGACUCGAAGGCUAUUCUGCUUCCUCCACACAGUCAGUCUUGGGUGGGAUUGGAGGGCAGGUGAUCGCCGCUAACCCCACUUGAGAGGUGAGCGGAUCAAGAUCAGGCAAGGUAUUGUGUCCAGCAAUCCUUUCCAGGCUUUCACUGUCCUAUUCAAAGAAUUGGAUGGAACAACUGAUGAACAUGAAAGUUUGAUGUUUAUGGCAAAAGAAGAAGAAAAGAAGCCUAAAAGAAGGGCAGAGGAAGAAAAAAUGCUCUGCAGGAAAAGAGAAGAUACACCCUGUGAACAGGCUGGGCAAGGAAAAGGCAGCAUUCUCUGACUGGGAUCAAACUUGGGACCUUGCAAUUUCCAGGGAGGCGGUGGAACGGCAGCUAAAUCCCCGGCUCUGAGAUGUCCUAGAUAUAGUUGCAGGCUGGAGAAUGGAAGAGAGGAAAAAUAAGAAGAAUUAAUCCUUUUGACAGCUUUGGGCUAAGUCAACAAAGAAAAAAGGAAAAAAAACCCUGAUGUUCCUUCACUGCAUGUUAAAAGAUUAGCCUUCGCUUUCUCCAUGCAAAACCAACCAGGAAGCAGUGAGCCCUUCCCCUAACAGCCCGUCUCCUGUGCCGGGACUCAGCCAGAUCUUAUUUGUAGUCACGUGGGUUCCAUGUAAGCUAUUUGUGCCUUCUCCCCAAAUUUUCAUCACAAAAACCCCGGCUUCUUAGAUGCAGUGGACAUUUUUGCAACUGCUGUCUAGGUGUGUUGCUGUGGGUUAGGGAAUUUGUCCCAAGCCCAUUCAUUUUCCUUUUGGCUAGCAUCUCUAACAGCUCAAUAAACCCUUUCAUUUCAGUAGCAUUUUAGUCUAUGUUUUGAUUUAACAAGCACACGUGGUGAAGUAGUCCUUUGCACCCUCCCUUGUCCAGUCAGGGAGCAAUGCUACUGUCCUCACCACAGCUGCCACUCGUGUUCCGACGGUCGGAGGAGGGGACUAACAAGCGGCCUCUGUGUGUGCAUCUUCCCGCCAGCCGCCCGCAUGCUGUGUCCCUUCCCCUGACAGUCCGGGCCAUCCCUGCACAGUGGCCCCCACGCAAGGAUUCCAAGGCCCCCUGGGAGCUCUCCUGACCUCACCUCUCAGGCUGCAGCGGGAAGAGCUCUUCAGCCAGGCUGUUUCGGUGAGAGCCCUGGUGAGUGGCUGAAGGCCUGGGCUGGGAUGAUGUGUCUCACUCCAGGUGUUUCCGUUCCUGAACAGCCCCGGGCCGUAAGCUUUUCAGUGAGGUGGAGGAGAUGUCAGAGUGAAAACUGAGAAUUUGUGUAGCUGUGCCCAGGCAAUUAUGGAUUUUAGAACAUGUCAUUUUAAUUUCUAAUUAUGUUAUUUAAAACAAUUUUAAUAACUAAAUAAAAGUAUUAAAC